rnacentral:rRNA from 1 species
UACGUAGGGCGCAAGCGUUGUCCGGAAUUAUUGGGCGUAAAGAGCUCGUAGGCGGUUUGUCGCGUCUGCUGUGAAAACCUCAGGCUCAACCUGGGGCUUGCAGUGGGUACGGGCAGACUAGAGUGCGGUAGGGGUGACUGGAAUUCCUGGUGUAGCGGUGGAAUGCGCAGAUAUCAGGAGGAACACCGAUGGCGAAGGCAGGUCACUGGGCCGCAACUGACGCU